AGUAUUUUUCACGGAUAAAAACUCGGGCGCAGUUUACGAAAAAAAGCCAUUCGGGCGCCUAUUACGUAUGUCCAUCUGCACCUCUCCGUUCGUCCCCCCACCCCCGAGAAAAAACGAUACGGUUUUAACGCGUCAGGAUAAUAGAGGAACCGAUUUCCGAAAUGAUUAUCCGAAACAAACGUUAUAAUCGUUUUUCGGCGUUUA